rnacentral:rRNA from 1 species
GACGAACGCUGGCGGCGUGCUUAACACAUGCAAGUCGAACGGAAAGGCCCUGCUUUUGUGGGGUGCUCGAGUGGCGAACGGGUGAGUAACACGUGUGUAACCUGCCCUUGACUUUGGGAUAACUUAAGGUAACUGGGGCUAAUACCGGAUCGGAGAUCAUGCUGCAUGGUGGGGGUUGGAAAGUUUCGGCGGUUGGGGUUGGACUCGCGGCUUAUCAGCUUGUUGGUGGGGUAGUGGUUUACCAAGGCUGUGACGGGUAGCCGGCCUGAGAGGGUGACUGGCCACAUUGGGACUGAGGGACGGCCCAGAGUCCUACGGGAGGCAGCAGUGGGGAAUAUGGCACAAUGGUCGGAAGCCUGAGGCAGCAACGCCGCGUGCGGGAUGACGGCCUUCGGGUUGUAAACCGCUUUCGCCUGAGACGAAGCGUGAGUGACGGUAAUGGGUAAAGAAGCACCGGCUAACUACGUG